rnacentral:rRNA from 1 species
GGGCCCGCACAAGCAGUGGAGUAUGUGGUUUAAUUCGACGCAACGCGAAGAACCUUACCAGGGCUUGACAUCCUCUGACGAUCCUAGAGAUAGGAUUUCUCUUCGGAGCAGAGAGACAGGUGGUGCAUGGUUGUCGUCAGCUCGUGUCGUGAGAUGUUGGGUUAAGUCCCGCAACGAGCGCAACCCUUAUUGCCAGUUGCCAUCAUUAAGUUGGGCACUCUGGCGAGACUGCCGUGGAUAACACGGAGGAAGGUGGGGACGACGUCAAAUCAUCAUGCCCCUUAUGUCCUGGGCUACACACGUACUACAAUGGCAACAACAGAAAGCAGCAAAACCGCGAGGUCAAGCGAAUCUCCAAAUGUUGUCUCAGUUCGGAUUGCAGGCUGCAACUCGCCUGCAUGAAGUCGGAAUUGCUAGUAAUGGCAGGUCAGCAUACUGCCGUGAAUACGUUCCCGGGCCUU